rfam:Nitratireductor pacificus pht-3B contig2, whole genome shotgun sequence.
UCCAUGGGGAUCGCGAUCUCCCCACGAGGCGCCAGCCCAAGAAUCGCGUCCAUCAAACCCGUCAAACGGAAGGACGCGCCAUG